rnacentral:tRNA from 1 species
AUUAGUAAAGUUUUAUAAUAUUUCUCCGUUAAAGAAAAGAUUUAUCUAAUU